rnacentral:sRNA from 1 species
AAACAAUGAAUGAAAAU